rnacentral:rRNA from 1 species
AAUCAACGCUGGCGGCGCGCUUAACACAUGCAAGUCGAGCGAGAAAGGGAGCAAUCCUGAGUAAAGCGGCGCACGGGUGAGUAACACGUGGAUGAUUUACCCUAUGGUGGGGAAUAACCUUGGGAAACCGAGGCUAAUACCGCAUAAGUUCGAGAGAAGAAAGCCGAAAGGCGCCAUUGGAGGAGUCCGCGGCCGAUUAGCUAGUUGGUGAGGUAAGAGCUCACCAAGGCGACGAUCGGUAGCCGGCCUGAGAGGGCACACGGCCACACUGGCACUGAAACACGGGCCAGACUCCUACGGGAGGCAGCAGUGGGGAAUCUUGCACAAUGGGGGAAACCCUGAUGCAGCGACGCCGCGUGAGUGAUGAAGCCCUUCGGGGUGUAAAGCUCUUUCGGCAGUGACGAUAAUGACGGUACCUGCAGAAGAAGCUGCGGCUAACUACGUGCCAGCAGCCGCGGUAAUACGUAGGCAGCAAGCGUUGUUCGGAAUUACUGGGCGUAAAGAGUGCGUAGGCGGUUUGGCAAGUUUGGUGUGAAAUCUCC